AACGAACGCUGGCGGCAGGCUUAACACAUGCAAGUCGAACGCCCCGCAAGGGGAGUGGCAGACGGGUGAGUAACGCGUGGGAACGUACCCUUUACUACGGAAUAACUCAGGGAAACUUGUGCUAAUACCGUAUGUGCCCUUCGGGGGAAAGAUUUAUCGGUAAAGGGUCGGCCCGCGUUGGAUUAGCUGGUUGGUGGGGUAAAGGCCUAACAAGGCGACGAUCCAUAGCUGGUCUGAGAGGAUGAUCAGCCACAUUGGGACUGAGACACGGCCCAAACUCCUACGGGAGGCAGCAGUGGGGAAUAUUGGACAAGGGGCGCAAGCCUGAUCCAGCCAUGCCGCGUGAGUGAUGAAGGCCCUAGGGUUGUAAAGCUCUUUCACCGGUGAAGAUAAUGACGGUAACCGGAGAAGAAGCCCCGGCUAACUUCGUGCCAGCCGCCGCAGUAAGAC
rnacentral:rRNA from 1 species